UAUAAAAGGUCUGCAUAAUUUAAUGCGUGUACUGUAUUAUUCUUUCCUUUUUCUGCAGCUGUUGGAACUGACAGGUGUGAAGGCAGAUGAUGUCGCAAUGUGGGAGGUGAAUGAAGCAUUUUCAGUAGUAGUAUUUCUACAAUAUUAAAAUGUGUGACCUGGAUCCAGCCAAGGUCAACAUUCAUGGUGGAGCUGUGUCAUUGGGUCAUCCCAUUGGAAUGUCUGGUGCCCGUAUAUUAACCCAUCUCGCUCACUCACUACCACCUGGGCAGAAGGGUGUGGCAUCCAUAUGUAAUGGUGGUGGUGGAGCGUCAGCCAUGAUGAUUGAGAAGUUGUAAGUCACAUUUCUAGAUUCAGUUUAUAGGAAAUAUAUUACGAUGCAUCUUAUCAAAGUUUUAUAGCUCAAUACUGUAUUAGUUAAUGAUUUGUUUGAUUAGAGUGACUUUUGUGAAGAGUUAAGAUUUGAUAUACUGUACAAUUGAUAAAGAUGAAACUUCUUAAAAUACUGUACAUUUUUGUAGGGUGUAGAGAUGAUGUGAAGUUCAGUUGAUGUCUCUGAAGUGUGUGAAUUUCCUGCCAUUGAUCAUCAAUGCUAAUUAAUCUUACUUGGUUAAAUUCAGAAAUUUAGUUAAUUCUCUUGGGUAUUAUUAAGUGAUUGGAAUAUAAUAAAAUUAUUUUAUGAUAA